AGCGGACAUACAUUGUUUUGGCAACAAUACGUGUUAUCCACUUGCAUUUGGGGUUCCUUCAAUUCUUAUGAUAAUCGCAUUAGCUAUGUUUUUGUGUGGAAAACCAUUUUACAACAUUAUCCCAUCGCAAGGAAACAUUGUGUUCAGAGUUUUGGAAUGUAUAUUUUACGCACUCAAACGAAAAGUAAGAACCAAGAAGAAAAAGAAGAACGGAGAGAACAUUGGUUGGACUACGCUGAUGACAAGUAUGAUUUGAAACUGAUAGAAGAGAUCAAGAUGGUGCUCCAUGUUUUGAGGCUUUAUAUUCCGCUACCUGUGUUUUGGGCUCUUUUCGAUCAACAGGUAAGUG